rnacentral:rRNA from 1 species
CCUACGGGAGGCAGCAGUGAGGAAUAUUGGACAAUGGGCGAGAGCCUGAUCCAGCCAUGCUGCGUGCAGGAAGACGGCCCUAUGGGUUGUAAACUGCUUUUAUACAGGAAGAAACACUCCCUCGUGAGGGAGCUUGACGGUACCGUAAGAAUAAGGAUCGGCUAACUCCGUGCCAGCAGCCGCGGUAAUAA